ACCAGGGCUUCGGCCCUGGGGACAGCGGCGAACGGGUGAGUAACACGUGGGUAACCUGCCCUCGGCACCGGGAUAGCCCGGGGAAACCCGGAUUAAUACCGGACAGCCUCACGAGCCCUCGGGCGAGUGAGAAAAGGUGGCUUCGGCUUCCGGCUGAGGAUGGGCCCGCGGCCGAUUAGCUUGUUGGUGGGGUAACGGCUCACCAAGGCUCCGAUCGGUAUCUGGUCUGAGAGGACGAUCAGCCACACUGGGACUGAGACACGGCCCAGACUCCUACGGGAGACAGCAGUGGGGAAUCUUGCGCAAUGGGCGAAAGCCUGACGCAGCGACGCCGCGUGCGGGAAGAAGGCCUUCGGG
rnacentral:rRNA from 1 species